ensembl:lncRNA
UGAGGACCCUGGCCUCGAAGUAAGCUAGGUAUUUCUGGAAACCACAUAAGUCCUUUAAUUUAGUGAAAUGUAUUUGCAUUAUGAGUAUAACACUACUGUCUUCCCAACACACUCUUGCCAAGGUUCUUGUGGCACAUUGCUAGAAGAUAUCACAAUCCUUUUCUGAGAGUUUCAGUGACCUGUGGGGGACACAAACAGACUGAAAGAAAAAUUGGUAAUUAUCUAAUUCGUGUGCUUUUAGUGAUAAAAGCGAGGAUUUAAAAAAAUUACAUGGAGAAUGAGCCUCAGAACAAAAGGCAUGGCUUGACAAGCAGCGGCAUGUCCACACCCGGGAUCUGAACCGGCGAACCCAGGCUGCCAAGAAGUGGAACGUGUGCACUUAACUGCUGUGACACCAGGCCGGCCCCUAAAGACCAAAUUCUUAUCCAUGAUACUGAAUUCUUAUGCAAGCUCUGAAAGCUCCAGAAUCAUCUCAGAUUUCCAAAGAGGAAUGGAGUUUCUAGUUUGAAACUCCUCAGUGAAGAUGGUCCAGUGACUUGAUUGCUUUUGUAGACUACACUGAAAUUUCCACUUUGUUCCUCGAGUCUAAGUAAAUGUCAGAAAUACUGAAAAGGUUGAAACUGACAUGUUUCUAUCAACGAGGUCAUACUGAUUGGAUGUAGUGGGAUAAGAUGGGCUCAGAAAUCACUCACCCUCCAGGUUUUCUGAAGAGAAAAAUCAUCAAAAAGCGUGGAAGGACACCGUGACUCGUUUUCCUCAGUUACUCACGCCAAGCAGGGACCCUCUUGGUCUGGCUGCCACACCCGCAGUAGAUGUAAGCCUUGAAGGGAGGGGGCAGGCUGUGUAGGGCAGACCUUUUAAUUUUGAAGCUAUUAAGUACCUGCAAAUGUCUUUCACACGGAAAGAAAAACUCUAACGAAUGACUUGCUUAAUUUAUUGGUAUCACUCACCCCACAGGUAUUCACGUGGCGUUAGAAGGCUGUUCUUGGCUGUUACACACACUGCCUGGGGCUUUAGAUGAGAAGCUUGACUUUGGAAAUUCAGUCGCACAAUAGGAUACAUGGAAAGCGUGCCUCUCCUGUAUCUACUAUAAUUCUCUGCUUAUUGCUCCUGGAGAGACACACAGGUUGCACUGUUCCUGUCACAUCUGUCUUAAAAGAAUGGUUGGCAGACGUAAGUGGUAAAAUAGUCAAGAUGGAUUCGGAUGAAGCAAACUGCAGAGCCAUAUUUUGUUUGAUGGAAACAGAAGGAAGUUGGUUCCCUUCUCCUUACAUUGAGGCUUCAUCUAAGUGCUCUAACAUCCUUGUUUUCACCUUCUUUCCCCAGCUGCUGUGAGGGUUGGGUUCCUACCGAGAGGAGCAUAACAAAAGGAGAAGGAGUCUUGUUUUUCCAGGAGAACGAGGAAAGGGAAAUAAGACGGUGAGUCAGCGGGCCAGCAGGCGUCCGCUGCACGUGGAACACAGCACUGCUCACUUCCCCCUCCACCUGGUGUUCUGGCUGCCCCUGGAUUAGCUCCUAUUGCUGCUUACACGGCAACAGGCUCGAGAGAGAGCUUCCAGGUUCACCACCCUCACCCCCAACCUCCUGAGAAAUGUCAGAAACUGCAUGAGGGACAUAGGGACCAGAAGCAUGGAGCUCCCCCUGCCUAGGGCCCCAUAAUGAUGCAGCAGAAAAGAGGAUAGGGGCCUUUGAGUUAGGGAGGGAAGAAGCGUUACCUAAUAGUGAUGCAUUAAAAUAACAGAGUUAAGGGUAGAUUCCUGCUGCCAAUACAGAAUUAAACUGGUCGGGGUUAAACAGGAUAGAGGGAAAUGGAGGAAACUAGCCAAGAGACAAGAGGAAUUAUCCAUAGUUACUCAGUGUAAUUGCAUUUAUACAGUUGGGGGGCCUGCCACUGAGCCAUGGGGGAUACCUCCACUCAGCCUUUCUCAGCUGAACACAGAAAAUGAUUUGGGUGACUAUUUUCUCAGUUUUCUUAAGGAUGAUACAGAACAUUCUAGAUGCAUAAGAGAGAAGUUAAUUUCUGACGUACUAUAGAUGGCUUAGGGCGUUAGAACUCAAUUCCCUCUGGUUAAGAGAGUCCCCAUUGUUCUUGGCACCACAUAUGUCAAAGAUGGGGAUAGUACUAUGGACAGCCCACCCUGGGGAAUGCCUGUUUGGUCAAGGAGUAGGGUAUGUUUUCCUUAUUCCCUUGACCCAGGGCAGGUUUUGGAGUUCAUAUAACUGAGAAUUGCCUUUCAUUCAUUCACUCAACAAAUAACUAUUAGUCUCUUGCUCUUUUCUAGUUACUAUGGCAAGAACAAAGAAUAUAAUGGUGAACAAGAAACAGAUAAAAACAAAUAAGUGAUGACCCAUGCUAUGUUGGAGAAAACCUCCAAGGGGCCAGGACAGAAAGAAAGAUGAGGGAUUUGGGAGCAUGGAUGGUGGGUGUGUUCGGGGGUAGGCAUACCUUGAAGAAGGAGGUUACUAAGCACGCACAAAUUGAUGCUGGCCCUCAUAUCAGUUCCCCUACAUUAAACCCAGCAUACAUGGGGUGAAAACCAAAGCAUUCAUUCCCUGCUUACUCCUUGGCUUCCUGGCUCCAGAAUGCACUAUCCGCCACGGAGGCAAACAGCCAAGGUGACCCACCUGCAAAUUCUCUUAUCAUCCUCCUCUCUAUAAACAACCUCCCAAGGCUGAAUGCAGGCUGGUGGGAAAGUUCCGACCAGCAAGGCCCCUGAUUCUCCCCGACUCCUCUACAAGCAGCCACAUUCCUCAGAAACCUUUAAAACCCCUGGCCUCCCAUCUUUUGGGGAGCCAGACGAAACAAAACUAAUUUGAGGGCUCACUCUCAUCUCUCAGCUGAUAAC